rnacentral:sRNA from 1 species
GACUGCGUACUGAGGAGAAGGAGCCGGAUCCGUGAGAAAUGUAGCUUGGCUCAGGGCUACAUCAGGAAGCUGCUACUUCAGCUGUUAAAGAUGGCAAAACAACACCUACCUCAGGUUUUUCAAUGAUUAAUGCUAUUUUCAUAACCAGGAGGGAAGAGGAUGUGAGAAAUUUUGUGAAAUUAACUUGUGGAAAUGUUAUCAUCAGAGAAAGUGGAGAAAAUUACUAGGCUUGAACUUCUCUUCGUUUUGAUGCUCUUCCUCUCUGGACCAACUCUGAGCAAGCUGACCCGGACCCCCUGGAAAGGAAAACCUUGGAAGGGGGGAUCGCGUCUUCGCCAGGAGGACUUUCCCCCGCGGAUUGUGGAGCAUCCUUCCGAUGUCAUCGUCUCUAAGGGCGAGCCCACGACUCUGAACUGCAAGGCGGAGGGCCGGCCAACGCCCACCAUUGAGUGGUACAAAGAUGGGGAGCGAGUGGAGACUGACAAGGACGAUCCCCGGUCCCACAGGAUGCUUCUGCCCAGC